AGCUCAACAGCUCAACGGUCAACAGCUCAACGGUCAACAGCUCAACAGCUCAACAGCUCACUCUGGCAGCAGCAGCAGCAGCAUCGUUGUUCUCCAGUGCAACUUGAGGAGAGACAGCAGCAGUUUGGAUAAACACUUCUUAUUUUCACCACCGCCAGUUCCAUUUUGAUCGUCAGACCAGACGAAGGGAAACUCCAGUGGUUACAUUACCUUACUUCAUGGUGUCAGACACAGCGGCGACUGUGAAGACAUCCCUCACCCUUCCUGAUAGUCCUUGGUUGAUCAUUCUAGGUCCAAUGAUUUCCGACCAGCGCUGGAUGGUAAGCAUCGAGGGUCAGGUGGUGUGUGAAGGGGCAUUGUCUGCGUUGGGGCUUGCUGUUGUCUUCACAUCCUACUACAACUUCAACCUCCAAUAUCAGGAUCACGCUGCCUGGACACUUGAAUUCAUACAGAGGUAAGUUUGAAUUCCAUAUAGUCAUUUGUGUCAGAUGUU